rnacentral:misc_RNA from 1 species
GCGAUACUUCCCCUUCCUCUCAGUUCAGCCCUCGUCAGCCCCAUUCCUCAGCCCCAAAUUGAAGAUCAACAACAAUAAUCUGACGAUGGAGAGCACCGACCGAAAGGAUCUCGAAACCCGCCCCCCUCCCCCCUCCGCCGGCACCGGCGCCGCCGCCUCUGCAGAACUAGACGAUCGCGAUCGCCAGGCCCGCGAGCUCAAAGCCGGUCUCCACCCCCUCCAGAACAAAUUUGUCUUCUGGUACACUCGCCGGACCCCUGGAGUGAGGACGCAGGGAUCAUACGAGGACAACAUCAAGAAGAUUGUCGAGUUCAGCACGGUUGAGGGGUUCUGGGUCUGCUACUGCCAUCUCGCCCGUCCCGUGACGCUGCCCAGCCCGACGGACCUGCAUAUGUUCAAGGAGGGCAUUCGUCCGCUGUGGGAGGAUUCGGCGAAUUGCAAUGGGGGGAAGUGGAUUAUAAGGUUCAAGAAGGCAGUUUCUGGUCGAUUUUGGGAGGACUUGGUACUCGCUUUAGUAGGCGACCAACUUGACUAUGGAGACAACAUAUGUGGUGCCGUGUUAAGCAUUCGAUUCAACGAGGAUAUCUUGAGCGUCUGGAACAGGAAUGCAUCGGACCAUCAGGCUGUGAUGGCUCUAAGGGAUUCGAUCAAGCGGCAUCUGAAGCUUCCUCCUGGCUAUCUGAUGGAGUACAAGGCACAUGAUACUUCUCUGCGCGAUAAUUCAUCAUACAGGAAUACUUGGCUGAGAGGAUAGAUGGGGAUGCCCUCAACAUAAGGUAUACUCUGAGUCUUUGGGACCCAUCUGUGUGCCCUCUCUAUGGGCAACUUGGAACUGACUUGCCUUCCUUCCCAUGUUGAGACAGCUUGUAGCAAAGACUUCCUUCAAACUUGAUUAACCUUUGUUACCAUUUCUAGUAUUUCGGCUGUAUUGCAUGGAGAUUUUAGAUCAAACUUAUAUGCUUAG